rnacentral:rRNA from 1 species
CCUACGGGAGGCAGCAGUGGGGGAUAUUGCACAAUGGGGGAAACCCUGAUGCAGCGACGCCGCGUGUGGGAAGACGGUCCUCUGGAUUGUAAACCACUGUCGCCAGGGACGAAGAUGACGGUACCUGGGGAGGAAGCUCCGGCUAACUACGUGCCAGCAGCCGCGGUAUUACGUAGGGAGCGAGCGUUGUCCGGCAUUACUGGGUGUAAAGGGAGCGUAGGAGGGGAUGAAAGUUGGGGGUAAACACUACCGGAGCAACUGGGAAUCGCACUGAAAACUGCCGCUCUUGAGUGAAGUAGAGGCAGGCGGAAUGCCUAGUGUAGCGGUGAAAUGCGUAGAUAGUAGGAGGAACACCAGGGGCGAAGGCGGCCUGCUGGGCUUUUACUGACGCUGAGGCUCGAAAGUGUGGGGAGCAAACAGGAUUAGAUACCCUUGUAGUC